rnacentral:rRNA from 1 species
CCUACGGGUGGCUGCAGUGGGGAAUAUUGCACAAUGGGGGAAACCCUGAUGCAGCGACGCCGCGUGAGUGAAGAAGUAUUUCGGUAUGUAAAGCUCUAUCAGCAGGGAAGAAGAAAGACUGUACCUGACUAAGAAGCCCCGGCUAACUACGUGCCAGCAGCCGCGGUAAUACGUAGGGGGCAAGCGUUAUCCGGAUUUACUGGGGGUAAAGGGAGCGGAGGCGGGAGUGCAAGUUUGAAGUGAAAGCCCAGGGCUCAACCCUGGAACUGCUUUGGAAACUGUGGAGCUAGAGUGCUGGAGAGGUAAGUGGAAUUCCUAGUGUAGCGGUGAAAUGCGUAGAUAUUAGGAGGAACACCAGUGGCGAAGGCGGCUAACUGGACAGUAACUGACGUUGAGGAUCGAAAGCGUGGGGAGCAAACAGGAUUAGAUACCCGGGUAGUC